rnacentral:rRNA from 1 species
CCUACGGGAUGCAGCAGUGGGGAAUCUUGCGCAAUGGGCGAAAGCCUGACGCAGCCACGCCGCGUGCGGGAUGAAGGCCCUAGGGUUGUAAACCGCUUUUAACAGGAACGAAAAUGACGGUACCUGUAGAAUAAGGUGCGGCCAACUACGUGCCAGCAGCCGCGGUGACACGUAGGCACCAAGCGUUGUCCGGAUUUAUUGGGCGUAAAGAGCUCGUAGGCGGUUCAGUAAGUCGGGUGUGAAAACUCUGGGCUUAACCCAGAGACGCCACUCGAUACUAUUGUGACUAGAGUUCGGUAGGGGAGCGGGGAAUUCCUAGUGUAGCGGUGAAAUGCGCAGAUAUUAGGAGGAACACCGGUGGCGAAGGCGCCGCUCUGGGCCGAUACUGACGCUGAGGAGCGAAAGCGUGGGUAGCAAACAGGAUUAGAUACCCUGGUAGUCCACGCCGUAAACGGUGGGCACUAGGUGUGGGUUCCAACCAACGGAAUCCGCGCCGUCGCUAACGCAUUAAGUGCCCGCCUGGGGAGUACGGCCGCAAGGUUAAAACUCAAAUGAAAUUGACGG